GUGGGCCAGGGGCUCGCGGGCCGCGAUGGCGGGGGGCGCGGGCGCGCCCAAGACGGUGGGCGCUCAACCCCGCCUCCCAGACCUGCCUCCCAAUUUUCGGUGAGUGGUGUAGCCCUGGGCGGCGUGCAAAGUGUGCGACGGCGGCGCUUACCCCUGCUGUGCGCCUCCUUACCUCCAGCCACCCACCCCGCCCUCCCAGCGGCGCGCGCCCGCCGAGGUAGGUGUCAGAGAGCCGAAUUCGAAUUAUUUGCGACGCCCGACGGAGUUUCGUAUCUUCGGACGAGAAAAGUGCGAUGGGAGUGCAAAGGUAGCUCUGCUCGAAGCAGCAGGCGCGCCGGUGUCACGGGAGCCGAGGAGCGGUGGCCGUGGCUGUGGAGUCGGUGCUCGAGGCGUCCUCCCAGGUGGGAGAGGUGGCGGCCUGGCCUGGGCGCCCUGGGGGCUCUGGAACAGAGGGAAAAGUAGUUUACGGAACGUGAACUUGUUUGAGGGUUCUUUCAAAACUUUCAAGUGUCCCGCCCCACACUAGGAUCUAGCAGUGCACGGGAUUAGGAGCAGGGAUAGCAAAUUUUCAACCAGUUGACCCCAGCCCGUCUUUCCUGGGACCUUGGUUGGGUCAUCUGCUGCCACCGUGGUGUCUGCUGGGAUACAGUUUAUUCAUUCAAUAAAUGUUUGGUGCCUGCGGGUUCCGCGGCCCACCAUGUGCCCAGGUGAGCCGAGGCGGCCAGGUAAUCAAGCUAAGACAUGAGCAGUGUCUUUGAUGGGACACAGGCCUACAUCCCGGAAAACCCAGAUAUGCAAAGUCCACAAACUGUCUUCCAACUUUUUCUUUGACUUCUUAACAGAGUCCAUGAAACUUAAGAUGUUUGGAUGGAGAAGGAGAAAGAAAGAAAAGUCUACUUAUAAAUGGAAACACAUUUAACAGUCCCCAGGGGUAUGGGGCGGCUGAUACCACCAGAGGCCUGGAGCAAACUGUUGUAUCAUUUUAAGUUAGCUUUGAAAAUAAAAAGACACUGUUAGCCAUUCAACAGGAUGACUGAAAUUCCCCCCUUUCCCCCAGUUUGCUCCACUUCGAGUAAGAAAAGGUGUGACAGAUGAAGAUGCCACAUAUUAUUUUUCUUGGCCCCUUCAGGUACACCACUGCCCCCAUUGUACAAGGCCUCUUUUUUAUGAACCUGAAAGGACAACAGAGGGCGAUUCAAAGUCACCAAACAACACUUGGAAUUAAGAACAGGAAGCGCAGCCUAGAUGCCGUCCUGCCCUAGGUUGCUGCAGACCCCUGACUUUCUCGAACUCGGCUGAAAAGUUGCUGCCAGGUUUUUGUCACACUCCUGAUCAUGGCCUCUCUUCCACACAAAAAUACACCUUCUUUUGAAAAUGCUCAAAGGAACUAUCCUAGGUUGAUGCUUUUCACCUAACCAAAGAUGCAUAAAAAUAUUGUGCAGAUACACCUGAAUGUGCUCCCGGGAAAACUCAGCAGGAAGGCCUCAGGACCGAUGAUUCUUAGGCUGCCUGUAACAGUGAAAGUAAGGCUCACUGUCAUCCACCACCUAAAUUGGAAAGAAUCGCUUGAUGACAUGGCACAGGUUCUAUAUCUUUAGAUAGUAAAUUAAAAAUUCCUGGCUGAAUUUGAUUGUCACUUUUAAAAAUUGUUAAAGACUUGUAAGAGGGAAGAAUAGGCCAGAAAUUUUUGUUAUGCUCCAUUUGUUCAAAAGCAUCUUCCUUCCUGCUUCUAAUGUGGCAAAGCACAGAUACAUUGUCUUUAAGAGAACAUACUCUAAUUCAAACAGAACGUGGAUGUACAUUGGCCAGUGUGUUUGGACCGAAUUCCUUGAGUCAGUGGAUUUGAGAUGUUGUUCAAACAUCUACUUAAAAGCAUGGCACACAAUAUAAGGGCAACGAGGACAUUUUGCAGCCCUUCUUGAUCUUUCCUGACUCUCUGAUGGGGAGGCACCAUCUGUGGGAGAGGCUUCCUGGUCUCUGUGGACAGAUGCCCAAUUCCCCAGGCCAUCAAUGCCUUUCUCACCACAUCCCCAUGAGCCCCAGAGUGGGCAGGAAUGGACUUCUAACAAAGCCACCAUCUACCUUAAGAAGCGGGAAGCUAACAAAAAGAGAUGACAUGUAUUACUUAUGUUCCUUUUAGAAGCCUAAAUGAUAUGAUGCACAUGUUACCCUUCAUUGAAGAUUCUAGGUGGACAAACAACUUGGAUAUCAACAGGGAGCAGAAAACCCACUAGCAGGACCAAAAGGCAGACCCAUCAGCAGAACACAGGCGGCAGCUUCAACAAUUAAUUCCAAAACUGAAAGUCAAAUCCAGGAGAAGACAGGAAGCUCCAUUUUCUUUGAGGUACAUCAACAUCAAUAACAGAUCAAUGGACCCACUUAAUGGAGUUCUUAAUUGGGUACAAAAAAAUAUUUAAGAGUUUUAACCACUCUACAGCAGGAAAGUUAAUUUUCCUAAACUGAAAUAUCCUUCACUUCCCUUGGGGAAAAGUUUUCGUGAGGACUAAGGUAAUGGGAAAACCUGUUGCUUAGAACUUUUAACUUGGCCUUGAAGAUGGAAACUCAUCCAGGAUGGAGAAUAAUGUAGGGAGACUAGUUAAAAAUAGACACGGACCAGUUCACUUUCACACUUAUUUACAAGGUGCCUUAUUUAAAUGACACUUUGAUCCAACAUCUUACAAAACUAAUGACAACAGGAAAAAAUAAGAGGCAGUUGGUGCACCUGGAGAUGGGAUGUUGAGACCAGUCAGGAGUUCUGAGGGACUAAUAAAAUUUCCUUAGAUAAAAGAAACCCUUUAAUUCUUCUUAUUUUAAAGAUUUUAGGAGUUUUUUCAUAGUAUUCACUUCUUCAAAUUUAGCUCCAUAGAAUUGGAGUUUAGACAGUUAAAAACACUGGAUUAAUCAGGCAAUUCAUUUCAUUUAGUUAAAUGCUGCUUUGUGGACAUAUACAAAUGAAACAACUGCUAAAUAGAAGUUUUACGUCUUCGGAUUUUAUCUACCUGCCAACCAAAUGUAGGUGAUCAUUUUCAAACAGCCUUGCCAUUAGGAACCAGCCUCAGUUUGGGAGAACUGAGAUUCAGACUGGGCCUCAGGUGUCAUUCGCCUUCAGAGCUAAAACCCCCUCUCCAGUCCCACUUCCAUCUGCUGUUGGUAAACCAGGAAUUAAGCAAUUAACGUGACAUAAUUAGUCACACAUUUAAUUCACCUAGAAAUGUAGAUACCUUUUCAUCGUUUUGUUUGUCCACACGUUUUAGUUGAAAUUGAAAAAUGUGUAAUUAUCGCUUAGCUCCACCUAUUUUCCUGGCUUUUAUUUUGAGGAGGGAACUAACCAUUGGGGCAUAGGCUGCACAGCUCCCAAAGUGGAGGGCUGCCCCCUCUUUUCACACGGGCUCCAACUGUCCUCCCCACGGCCACCGCAGCCUUCCUCUGCUUGAUUUCCAUUUAGCCUCCAGUUGGUCGAAAUUAGGCGUUUGCUGGGGAGCUCAGGGCUGCGCCCUCUGCUCUCCCACUCAGCAGUUUAUUGAGGGCUUGGCAGUGUGCACAGAACUCUCACUGGCCUGUUAGGAGCCCACUCAGCAGCAGAGCCCAGAUGGCACUGUGUCUUUCUAAGGUCCUUGCCGACCACUGGAAGUUAUGAGAAGGGGAAAAUUAUUCAGCCCAAGCUGCAAGCAUUUGCAACCAGUCUGGGGAUCAGAUGAAAAGGAGAUUUUUUAUGAGCUACAGACCUCAGCUCUACCCGCAGCCACGUCCCAGGGUCUCUGCACGCCGCCCAAUACUGGGAAGGCUGCCUCUGCCCGCUUUCUUGAACGUUCCUGUUUUUCGGUUGCCUUAGUCUCUACUACCUUCUCAGAUUACGGCUCCUUUUGUGCUAAUUACACCGAAAAAAUUGAAAGAAUGUCGCUGACUUUACAAAGAACACAAAGCAGACUUGCUUUAAAAACUAAAUAUAGCCAGUUUCUUUCAGAAGGCAGACAGACUCGGCCUUCCAAUGAUUUGUACUAUGCAGAUUAAUUGCAGAUGGCCAAUUCAUUUAUUAGGACCCAAAUGACAGAAGGGCUCAGCUAUCGGCAGGACAGAUUAAAAAUGUGUGUUGCUUUUGGGGGCCAUUUACAUAAAAUGAGAAGGUCUGAUUAAUGAUGAACUUUUUUUCCCCAGCACUUAAUUGUAAAUUAAGAUUUGCUGAUGAUGAUGGGCUAAUUUAAGCUACCAUGGAAAGAGGAAAGAAAUGGAAGCUGCCGACUGUAGGAAGCAGUACCUGUACUGCGCAGGUAAAAAUAUAAAUGAAACGAAAGAAGAAAAUCUAACUUCUCAUUCUGGAAGGCAGUGGCUGACACAGAUCAAGAGGAUAUUGUUUUUGCAGCCCCUGUUCUCCAUUAUGUAAGAAAUGGCCUUUUAAAAGACAGACUUGGGAAGGGGGUAUUAUCUCUGCUAGCCAAGCAAAUUAUAGAUUACUCCCCACUUCCACCCCCACCACCAUGAAAUCCCGAAAGAGUUAACAGGUGAACAGUAGCAGCUUGGAAUGGUUUAUUUUUUUCUAAGGAACAUUAAAUACUGAAUUGCUCAUGCUGAAAUAACGCUACAGCUGUGAUCCGUGGGGCUGAGUUUUGGACACUGGCUCGAGUGACAGGUGUACUCGUUGUUUGCCCAGCUCGGCUGAAAUUGUGAUGCCUAACUCAAAUGUUUUCCCAAUUAACUGGUGAGGAUUCUGGAGCCAGCCAGGAAAGGGCCUUUUGCCACAAGGACGGAAGACAUGUGUGCUCAGCCUUCAACAAAAAUGUCAGCCUUAGGGGAGAAUGGAGCCGUUGCUCCCUGAUCAUAAAAACAAGAAAAUGGAGAUGGACCUGCAAUGUCCAGAAAGGUAGGGAAAAGAGACAAUCUAAUUGGGACCAAACCCUUCUAGGUUCUAAAGCAAACAGGUCUGUCCUACAGUUCAGCUCUUGGAGGAUUUUAGGGAUUGAAGCAAGUCCAGGAUUCUAGGAAAUGUGUCACCAAAAUUGGUAUUAUUAGAGAAAGUGGCACAAAGCUACAAGUGCAGAGUCUGAUCUGUAACAUGCUAAUUACAUCUAUUUUUAUCCCAGGGUUGCAGUGACCUAACAUCAAGAAAUAAAAACUCUGGAAAACUAGCCUUUCACAUAUAGAAAGUAUGAUUACCCUUAGGUAUGGGAGCCCCUGGGAAAACUUUCACUGGGUCUAUGGAUUUAACCUGAGGUAAGAAAGCAGCAGUCACCCAGGAAGGUGGUUGACUUUCAAGAGCACUUGGCAGCAGUGAGGGGAGGCACAUGGGGAGUUGUGGAAUAAUGUCAGCAUGUAGUAAGAGGGGAACUCUGAAAUGUCCAAGGCCAGCCCAAGCAAACGGCGCUAUCUCCACGUGGUGCCCUGGUCUGGAAAGGGAAGGAAGAAGGCUAGGAUAUGUUUUGCCAAGCCAAGACUUAUAAAUGAGGAAGCUUUCCUCAAUCCAUUCCACUGAUAGCAAAGGCCCUGGAUCCCUAUCUUCUACCAAGAUGGUGCCAAAUAGCCGAACCAUACAAAGGAAAUUGGUAUAAAACUUAAUUGGGACCCAGAGACAUCUAAUCUCCAAGUUAAAGGACUACUCCUUUUACUCAUAACCGUUGGAGGCAUACCAAAGCCUAGAAAAGCCUAAAUGACCCUAAAUUCAUAUUCUAGUGUUAUUUAACCCAUGCCUCUGAGAGGCGCUCAAGAACAGGAUAAUUUAAUGUCAUUCUCAGCCUGAAAAGUUCCUUAGUUUUCUUUUAAUCAGUAAUUAUUUUAAAUGCAUCAUUUCAACAAGAUACCAUGAGUUAGUUGAAUGAAUGCAUAUAAAACCAAAAUGUUGACUAGUAAAUCCCCAAAUCGAAUUAAUAUUUUAAUCUUAGGUAUAACACACUUUUAUAUUUCAUUUACCUUGCACAUUUUUAAAUGUGUUAAAUGUGUUUUCCACAACUUAGCAUAACUACACAUCCACUAGGUUUAUUGGGUGGGGAGACAGAGAGGCAGAGAAGAGAACUUUGUUUUUUUUUAAAAAAAAAAAAAGAAAAAAAAAGCUAUGAUUAAAGGAUAGAACUCUACAGCAAACAUUUAGUUUCUACAAUUGAUGCCAAAGGUAGAAGAGAUUUUGAGAGAAAAAAAUAGAUGGAUAAUUUCUAAAAUAUGUAAAGUAAACAACAAAUAUGCAAAUGCAAGGAAAAAAAAAAAAACACUACUAGCAGCAUGAAAACCCCAGGGAAACAAACAAGAACAUCAUUGUAAUUGAAAGUAAUUACUUUGAACUUAACCUUCCUCCCAAUACCUGAUAAUUCUGUGAAAUCAGCCAGCUGUCACUCUUGUCCUUUUAGAAACAUGACAUUGAUUUGUCUAGCAAAGACCCAUCAUUAGAAUUCUGAGGUCUGCCUAAUGGGACUACUAAUAAAUCUAAGUCAUCAAUUCUUGACCUUUUGUUUCCUGAAAUUCUCGGUAUGUGGUAAACUGCUGAAAACACAUUUUCAAGGUCUGUGACUGUAACAUGAAAAAUAAAGGAUCAAGGCUGCGCUUUGAAGGUCUGAUCAUAUCUGGGUUCUGCCCUGCCUGCGCCCCAGAGGGAAAAUAAGCAAGAUGGAUUAGGAACAGCAUCUGGGGGUCAUAUCAAUACCCUCUUUUGGGCUGAGCUAUUUGCAAAUAGAAAUGGACUGUGUAAGACUGAACUACAAAGGGAGAUGUGCCAAGGAGCCAUUGCCCCUUCCCCUGCCUCUCCUUGUCCUCUUCCUCCCUCAUCUGCCUGACUUUUUACUGCACCGAGAGAUCAGGAAAAAGUCCAGCCAAGAGAGUCUAAAUUGACUAUGCACAUGAGAGAGAGAGAGAGAGAGAGAUUAUCUAGUCUCAGUUUUGGUGACUUUGAAAUAAAAGGUUUGGGUUGGGGAGGGUCAGCUUCUUUUUCAAGGAACAGAAUCAUGGAAAUUUUUUCUUUUUCUGUAAAAGCAAAACACUUCUCACCCUUAUUUUUUGCUGGCUGGAUUGAGCUGGUUGUAACCUAAGACAAAAUGCGGGCAGGUGCCUUCGGCUUCCUCUAAAUUCUAAGAUGGCUGCAGGCACCAGACUCUGACAGUGAUGUUGCUGAGAGUCUAGCCAUAAAGAUUUCUUUCCACACGGUUCUCCCUCCACAUCUGCCUAGAAGGACUAGUCUGCUGCUUCAUUUUCCCCCUCCUCUGCAGCCAAUUUCAGAUAGCUGCAGCAGAGAAAGUGAGACCCCCCACACCUUGUUUGUGUGUACCCUUCCUUCCGUGCCCCUCUGAGUGCAUUUGGGUUGUGUUGGGGUGACAUCGGGACAGGUGGUUGGCUGAGCUGAUCCUGUCAAAUAUUCAGGCAAACUGGUUGUUUGUAGACAAAACAUCCAGAUGCUUUUUCACGAUUGAACUUUUGAUCAAAUUGAUUGGAUGCUUUGUUGUCAAGAAGACAAAAAUCCAAGUCAAAAAGGUCACCAGAAUAGGAAAUUUGCAGGCAAUGAAUAGUAGGAAGAAUUACAUAUUUCUAGCAAUGAAAAAUGUGAGUUUUUAGAUUGUGCUAAAUGACUCGAUACUGGCCAGAGCAAAGAUACAAGUGAAAGAAUGGAUCUUUUUAAGGUUAUAUUGUUCCCAUUUAUUUGGCUUUGUGCUACCAGAAAGUGGCUUGGAGGCUUGCUUUUUAGUGCUCUGUAAAAUGUAAAUGGUCUAAGUUAAGAAGCUAUUUAAUCUCAAACAAUAUUAAUUGUGACAUGAAAAAUGAGACCAAUUCUUCCGACAUUACAAUCACCACCACCUCACGUUAACUGAUCACCUCACUGUGUUUCUCAAAAGAGCCUGAAUAUUUUCCUUUUCCAAACUGCCUAUUUUUAAGAGGAGACAAAAAUCCUCAAAUACUUUACUUAUUCUGAUGCUGAAAAUGUGGUCUCCUAAAGUGGGCUUCCUUUGGCCUCCAGGCUCUGCAAACCUCUACAUCUGAUUUGUCUUGUUCUCUCACCCCGCGUGCCGCCCCCUCCCCUCCCCCACUGCCUCUGAAUUAAAACUCUUUCUAAAAUAAAACCGCUAAGCAGCCAAACGGUCAUAAGCCAGGAUGCUGCUCCUGCAUCUCCCUGCUUCCAGACAGAACUGCUGGACCCUAAUGCUGCUUUCCAGGAGCAAUAGGGGGAAAAUGCAUUUUCACAUAUUUUUUAAGUGUUUUUCCCUAAAUGGGUCCAUUAAAAUCAGCAAGAUCACUGUUCCUCCAUCUCUGUAGCAGGCAGAAUCACCACGCAUGGAGAUAGGAGCAAAUUUGUAUUUCCAGUCGGCUCUGAUGGGGAGAUUGCAGUUGUUCUACGGAAAGGCGAUAUCUCCAUCCCUGCAGUACUGCCUCAUGAUUUCAAGACCACUGCCUCCUCCCGUAAGAUUCUGCAGAUGUUACACUUUGCUUGUUAAACCUCUUGCUAAAUGUAAGAAAUAACGUUGUUUUACUUGUAAAUGUCCGUAAUUCACCUACUGCAAAGCCCUAAGUCCUUGCUGUUUCAUUACCAGCUGCCUGUUAAUAACCAUCAAAUUAGAAGUGUCUCUAGCAGCAUGACAAUUUAGUGAGGGGAAUAAGAACAGAAAAUCACAAAUUGUUCAGAGAAGUUGCCGCAUAGCAGGCCUCCUGGGGCCGGGGCCUGAUGCCCCUUGGUGUUUAGUUCAAGGCCACGGGGCUCUCUUGGGUGACAUCACUUCUAACAUAGAUACUGUGUAAUUCAGUUACACAAACGCAGCCCAGACAAGCAGGCUCACAUCAUCUCUUGUGCUCUGCGUAAGUCUGCACCAGAGGCUCUCAACGCAGCCUGCACUUCCUGUUGCAUGCCACGAAAGAGCCCUAAAACCAAGGAGGGAGGUGAAAGGAAGUACAAAAUAAUGCACCUUCUAUGUUUUUUGUUGUUUUGUUUUGUGUUUUGUGUUUUUUUUUUCCUCCCUUUCUGCUCCCUUCAUCUCUAAGGAAUCCACAGCUAACCUGGACGCAUUUUGUUACUUCCCAUUCCCAGGGAGAAAGGCUUUUUCCAGCUGUGAGAGUCUAGGAUUCACUUUUAUCUCUUUCUAAACACUACCAGCCCAGAAUCCUCAGACCACUUGUGGGCAUUAUAGCAACACAAUAGGUACCUCCUGUGGACCCCAUGCCUCGGAUCAGAGCAGGGAUUACGGGCAAGGCCGAGAGGUGGGAAGUCAGUGACAGCGCCAUUCUCUCGUUCUUGCUUGAGCUGACUGUAGCUUCUUAACAUCUGGUGCACCAACUCUUUCCCCAUUCCUAAACCAUAGCCGGCCUCUGCCCAUCAGAACGUCAGUCCUGGGCUUCCUGGGCUCUGUCCCUUUAUCCAGCUCUGAAGCCAUUGAGUGUCCAUUUCAACCUCACACCUGACUUAGCACCUGACUUUAAAGAAAAACAUCCUUUUCACCAAUAAGGUAUGUGACCACUUGAAACCCCUCCAAGGCUUUCAAAGCCGGUGGAGCAGAGCAUAACAGCAGAGGAGAUCCACCCCCGGGGUUAAAAUCUCACAGAAGGAAAGGGGAAAGCUGGCAGUAGCAGGUGGCUCCUUUGGGCUAUCCUAUUCACCAUUUGCCCCUGGCUGACUAGUCCUGGGCCCCCACAGAAUGGGCCACUGGUGCACAGGCUCAGGGAAGGGCUUCUCUCACCCUCUCCAAGUGCAUCUGUCAUUUGGCAGUGACAGCCACUUUGCACUCUGUACCUUGGCAGCUCACAUCUCUUUCAGAGGCUCCCUCCUUUCCCCCCACCAUAAGCCUCCUCUGUAAAAACCAAAAAAAAAAAAAAAA